UUUUUAGUAAUCUAUGAAAAAUACUAUUAUGUCUUUUGACAAACCCUAUGAGGUUGAUCCCUCGAAGUGAUCAAGGGCCGAUCUCAUCGAAGCGAUCAAGGAGGUCGAUUCCCUCGAAGUGAUCAUUAUCAUCCCCAUUUCUCUACGAUAAGACUUUAGGGUUAUCAUUCAUUUGGUAUCAGAGCUACGAUCCUUGACGUUCUUGUUGAAACGAAGCUAUCAAAAAUAAAAAAAAGGAAAGAAAGAAAGAAAGAAAGAAAGAAAGAAAAGAAAAAUACGAGAGGAAGAAGAAGCCGCAGCCACCCCUGCGUCCUCCGGCCAGCCCACCCGCCGCUGCUGCUCUCCGGCCAGCGCCCACCAUCGCCCCGCUUCCCGGCCGGCGACCACCGCCGCCGCUGUUCCCCGGCCAGGAGACGACGUUACCAGCGUCCAUCCCAGCCCUACUGCCGCCGCCCGCCUCCCCUUGCGUCGCAGCGCAGCCGCUCGACCUCUCCUCCUCGGCGAUCGUUGGUGACGCUGCUCCCAGCCGCGCCACCACCGCUGCCUCUCCACCGCCGCCCGCCUCCCCUUGGGUCGCAGCCGCAGCCGCCGAUUGUCGCCCUCCUCGCGGCGACCGAAACAGGGCAACUCACGGAUUGCCCUUGUUCCCAGCCGCGUCACCAACACUUUUCCCAGCCGCAUCGCCGCCGCUCGAUCACCCGGCCAGCGACCUCUUCUCCUUGCGUCCCCAUCUCGCUCGAGCGAGAAGGACCGCCGGCACCGCAGCCCCUCCUUGCAGCGGUUGCAGAAACAGAGCUUCCGCAGCCCCUCGUCGAUCGCAGCCACGCCUCGAGCGCCGUCGCCUUCCAGCCGACCCACCACCACUGCCAGCCACCGUGCGACCGCAGCACUGCCCUUGGCGUCCACCUCCUCGGCAACUUCGCAUCGACAGUGUUGAUGCCCUUGACCGACACCAAAAACAGGAGUUGAGAUUACAGAUUUGCAAUCUUACGCAAUGACCACUGAUAACUCGGUGAAAGCACAAAUGGAAGCAUUGGAAAUCAGAAUUGAGAACCGACUGUAAGAAACACUUAAUGAUUUCAAAAAGAGCCUACUGGAGAGCCUCAGCAAAUUUCAACAAAAUUGGGGCUCAUGUUCUACAUUGCACAGAUCUGAAAAUACAGGAAAAGGGCCCCAAGAUUAUGACACAAAUUACUCACACAUGAAGAUGGAAUUUCCGAGAUGGAAAGAUAGAGAUCCGACCAAUUUGAUCUCUAAGGCAGAAAAUUUUUUCCGUUUUCACAGAACCCCAGAAGAAUCCAAGGUAGAAGUGGCCUCAAUCCAGAUCGAGGGAGAUGCACUCCAAUGGUAUGAUUGGUAUGAAACAGUUCUGUGAAAACGAACUAGAGAUGCGAGCAGUUCAAAAGAGGGCUUCUUUUUCACUUUGGCCCAUCCGAACAUGAGAAUGUUGAUUGUCGGCUCGUCAAAAUUCAUCAGACUUCUACAGUGUUAGAAUAUCAUAGUAGGUUUGAAAGAUUAUCAAAUCAAGCUAGAGAUUGGUCGGAUCGACAACUUCUGGAUACAUUUAUUGAAGGGCUUAUUCCAGAGAUCCGGUGUGAAGUUAAGGCUCGUCAACCCCGCACUAUGAUAGCUACGAUUUCAUUUGCAAAUAUAUAUGAGAAAAAAAUUAGCAAGGAAAGAUCAACAAGGGGUUUGUACUAUGAUAAAAAAUGGAGUAUGGAGCACCGAUGUAAACAAGGGCAACUUCUGAUGAUUGAACCAAUUGGAGAGGAGCCGAAAGCUAAGAAUGUGGACUCCGAUCACGAAGGUAUAAAUUCUAACGAAGACGUUGAACCUACCGUACAUACAAUGCAUAAAUUAGCCGACUACUCUAACCCGCAAACUAUGGAAGUUGCCAGAACUCUAGAGCACCAGCCUAUUAUAGUUUUGAUUGAUAUUGGUAGCACUAACAAUUUUAUGGACAGUGAGACUGUUGACCGAUUGGCCCACCAAAUUGAAGACUAUGACAGAUUCAAAGUAAAGAUCGUUGAUGGAUGGAUUUUCACUUGUGAUAGCAAAGGUUCAAAGGUAAAAUUGAUUAUACAAGGCCAGGAGUUUCAUGCAACGAUUACUACACUGAAAGAUCGACCUGUUGCUUACACUCUCAAAAAGUGGAGACCAUACUUACUUGAUCAACAGGUUGUGAUGCGUUGCAGAUAGUCUAUGGCUAAAGUGUUGAAAGAGAAGCUCCCCGAGAUUGAUGUUGCUCAGCCUUGAGGACAAGGCUGAUUUGAGGAGGGAGGAACUGUUAGGAACCUUUUAAUAAGCUUUUAAAUAAUGUUUAUUGAGUCUGUUUAGUCCAGUUGUUUAUUGAGUCGGUUUGGUUCAGAUAGAGUCAAGUAUAGGUUUAUUUAAUGUUUAUUUAUUAUUAGAGUUCAAGUCCUGAUAGACUUUGGGUGGAACUCUAUAAAUAGGGAUGUAACUACUUCUUUUUAGUAAUCUAUGAAAAAUACUAUUAUGUCUUUUGACAAACCAUAGGAGGUUGAUCCCCUCGAAGUGAUCAAGGAGGGCCGAUCCCCUCGAAGCGACCAAUGAGGCCCGAUUCCCUCGAAGCGAUCAAGGAGGCCGAUCCCCUUGAAGUGAUCAUUAUCAUCCCCAUUUCUCUCAUUUCUUCGACGAUAAGACUUUAGGGUCUUAUCAGAAACAUAUUUACCUCGGAGAAAUGAGUGACAAGCAAAUGAGUAAAAGAAGCGAAAUGUAAGAGGGCCGGUGAUAUCAUCUUAAUACCGUCCUUUUAUAAUCUUAUAGUUUAUAUAUUAAAGGUAAUGUACCCUCUUGUUCGAGUCUUUCGGUUAGCAGAUAAUGAAAAGAAGCCAGCAAUUAGAUAUAUUUAUGAGGCUUUAAAUAGAGCAAAUGAGAUAAUUCAAAUGUUUUUUGAUAAAAAUAAAAAAAUAUAAGAAAUAUUUGUAAUCAUUGACGAAAGAUUAAAUUAUCAAUUUCAUCAUCCAUUACAUGCAGUAGGAUAUUAUUUGAACUCAUAAUCCUUUUAUAAGAAUACCUCUAUUGAGUUUGAUACAGAAGUUAUAAAUGAGUUAUAUCAGUGUAUUGCAAGAUUGGUUCUAAGCCUUAAGGUAUAAGAUAAGAUUAUAUGUGAAUUAUCUUAAUAUAAGAUUGCCAAUGAUCUGGAUGUAGGACAACUACAUCCUCAAGUAUUAAUAAAUUUAUAUAAUUAAUUUUAUAUAUAGUAUGCUAUUGUUAAUAUAAAGUAAAUUUUACAACUGAAUGAUAGAGUUUAUUUAGAAAUUCCACACCAAAUUUAUAGUAAUUAACUAUUAAAAUUCUUAGUUUGACAUGUAGUGUUGCGGGUUGUGAGCGAAAUUAGAGUGUCUUUGAGUAUGCAAAGAUCACAUAAUAUUUUUGUUUUAAUUAAUCUAUUCUUUUUUAGAUAGAUGUGUUAAUAUAUUUUUAAAUUAUAUGAUAUACUAGAUUCAUACAAAGAGAAAAAAUCGGUUAGAGCAUCAACGAUUACAUGAUCUUGUUUAUAUAAAGUAUAAUAAAGUAUUGCAGGUUUGUCAUGAUUUGUGAAAUAACAUUGAUUCAAUAUUAUUACUAGUCAUUGAUGAUUCAAAUGAGUGGUUGGUGAGGGAAAUGAGUGUGAACUUAUAAGAUGUUAAAAACGAGCUUGUAUUUGAAGAUGAUAGCUUGGCAUGAGGAGAUGUGGCAAGAGCCUCAGGUGUUAUAGAAUUACAAACAUAUACAAAACAUAUGACAAAGAGAAAAAUGAGUGCAAAGGCUUCAAGCUCAUCUGCUGCCAUUGUUGAAGAGGAGGAAAUAUAUUUUGAUAAAGAUGGACGAGAGGAAGAGAAGGAUGAUGAUAUGUUUAAGAAUGACAAUGCUGAUUAUGAUGAUGAUUGAAUUUGAUGUAAAACUUUUUUGUUUUGAGUUUUUUGACAUUUUUGUUAUUAGAAAAUGGAUAAUGUAACUUGGUUCUUUAGAUCUUUUUAAUUUAGUAUCAUAUUUUUAUUUAUAUAAUUAUAUUUAUCAAUUAUAUUAUAUAUUUUUAUAUUUUAAUAUUUCAGAACACCUUAAUUUGCUUGGGCGAGCACGUAACAUCUUGGGCGUUUUGAGACCUUAGCAUCUUUUAGUGCAGUGCUUUUUAAUUCACUGACUUUACCCAUAGAGUUCAUUCCUUAUCAUAUUCUGAAUUUUAAACCUAUUUUUUGUGGAUAUUUGGUUCAUUGUCCUCAUUCAUUUUAGUGACCAAAGGGAGAAGAGGUGAGAAGAAGAUAUUUGAGACAAGGUGUGGAGAGAAAAAAUGACAGCUGGACUGCUGGAGGGAGAUGAGCAGGCAACGAAGAGAGGUCCUUGGAGGAAGAGAGGACAACCAAAAGAGAGAAGCUAUUGCAUUAGAGAUGCUUCUUUCUCAUAUUAAUUCAUAUUAAUCAUAGUUACCCUCUUAAACAAAUAAUAAAAAAAAAUAAGUUAAGGCAUUUAAAUAAUCUUAGCUUUAAUUACAAAACCGAAUUGGUUUUAUUUAAUCUGGUCAGUUCAUGUGGGUUAUCCAAAAACUGAAUGUCAACCACUUCAUUUUGAUUUAUUACAUAACCUAUCCAUUAAGUGAAUUGGACCGAUCAAUGAUCCGAUUGCCAGUUUUUGAAGUUCUGCCACUUGGUUUGAUCUGGUUCUGUACAUUGGUGUUCUUUGAUAAUUCAACAUAUACAAACUAAGGGUUUAUGGCUCAUGUUGUGAAGAUUCUAUAUUUACUUUAUAUGUUUUUAAAUCACGGCAUAGCCAUUUGGGAUUUGCAAAGGCAUAAAUUAUUUUGAAAUCAUUGGCAUCCAUUUGUAUCACAAGCAUUUCUUUUGGUUCCUGAUUGUCUGGACUUAAUUGAAGGUUUUAUUUUAGUUGGCUUUAAUUGGCUUUUGUGAUGUUUUAGUCUUUAUACAAAAUGAAAAUCAAAUGAUUUAAGAUAUAAUAUAAUUUCAAAUUUCUCAUUGAAGUUUAUCUAGGUGUAGCAGCAAUUUUCCUUCCAUUUUAAGAAGAAUUAUGGUUAUCAAGCUGUAGUAAUAUACUUUCUUUUUGUCAUUUGUCAUUCUGUAGUCUUUAUGUUUAUAUUAGUAGAGUACAUGCUCUACAUUGUUACCUAAUUUGUAAGAAAGGACUAAUUUAUUUAAGAAUCUACAGAAUGGUGCUCAAAGUUGACAAUGGAUGGCCCAACGUUACUGUUGCUGGGUUCAUGGAGGGUCAAUAUACUCAAUGUUUCCCCUGCACAAAGAGAGAUUGAUCUCAUAACUCAAAUCAUGUAUCCAAGUUGCCAAGGGAACAACCUUAUCAUGAAAACAUAUGUGCUAGUGACUGGUAACAUUAGCUCAAUAUUAUUGUUUCACCUUUCAAGUUAAACAUUAUUGUUUGAUGUGGCAAUUCUUUAUUUUUGAAUGGAAAGUAAAGAGAAGCUUCAUACAUAUGAAAAUUGUAUAGUUGAUUCAACCAACAUGGAAACUGUAAUACCCUACUGAAGAUGUUAAAUCAAACUAGCUGAUGAUGCUCUGCAUCAUUGCUAGGUAUCUCCUAUACCCUUUUGUACUUGAUAAGUGCAAGGAAAUUUCUUGUCAGCACUUCUCUCAGUAUCUGUUCUUGGAUUAUGACUGUCUACUCAUCUUCUAUCACUUAUGUGAUUUGGUAAUAAAUUAAAAUGGAACUUCAAAUGAAUAGGAAGGAUUACCGAGUGUAAUUUUGGAUAGAAAUCUUACAGUCUACUACCAUAAUGCAUAAAAUAUUGUAGUCACAAUUAUCAAAUGCUACUCAAAUAAUAGUUUGAAGUGCAUAAGCCUUAGUUAUUUUCUUUAGAUAAUACUCGACACUCUUGAUGUGCAUUUGUCAGGGAGCCACUGUUGUAGAUCGGAUUGUAAACAUAGCUCCUGUUGAAAAUUAUAUUCCUAUGGUUGAGGAGUUAAGAAUUAUUAUUAUUGUUAUUAUUUGUUUAGAGAUUCAUAGUUAUGUCUACAGUUGUUCCCUUAUAACCACUCGUGCAGGGAGUUCUGGUUAGUGAGGCAGAAAUUACUCUUGUUGGAAACAACAUGUCAAAUAUUGAGGUGUCUGUAAACUCCAGUAUACCUUUUUUAUUCAAAGUUCUUCUGAACUUAUAGAUUAACUUAUUCUUGUUUAUAAGAUUUUGGGGUCUGAAUGAGUGUUCAAGUGAUAUCGAUGUAGGGUACAAGCAGUCCUCGUGGUGAACAAGCCUACGUUAGUGAAGCUCAUGAUGUUUGCCUCGAGUAUGCUAGCUAAGGGUUCAGCAUUUAGACAAGAAGUUAUCAACAAGGCUAAAGCAUUUGAUGAGAAGCAUCGACUAGGGCUGGUGCAACUGCAAUGGUUACUUCUUUUGAUAGGCAGGUUGGCCUUUCAGAGAAAAUAACAGCAGGAAUCUCUAUUGUCAAUGAAAAGCUACAUGUGUCUGAUAAAACCAUUGCGGCCCUAAUUGCAGCAGAGUGGAAACUGAAUGACACUCGUGCUAAUGUCAAGACUAACAGGUGGCAAAGGCUGGUCAUAUUGCAGGCUCCAGAACAAGAGAGAAGUUCCAAUUGGCAAUCUCAGAUUUAACAGCCAAGGAUCCUGUUGUUGCUGCAUAAAUUAAUUUGAUUUGUUUCAAAACUUCACUUUCACCCUGGAGCAGAAACCACCGGUUGAAGUCAUCAGCAGAUCAUACGGUGCAAGACAAAGGCCCCAAAGGCGAUAGGUGCGCAACACAAUGUGAUGCUUAUGUAUUAUUGAUUGCCUUACAUGGUACCUCAUUUUAUCCUGUAUCCAGAUUGUUGGGAGUCUCAGAUUUGAUUAGUUCAACUGCUUGUCUGUUUUUAAAUGUAAUAUGCCAUCUCUCUAUAGCACAAGGUUUUACUGCGUUGUAUACAACAAGUGUGUCUUUUGUAGACUAUUGAAUUAGGUAUCGAGAUUGGUGGGAUGCUCAAAGCAUGCAAUUUAAUCUCUG